ensembl:miRNA MIR330 microRNA 330
CUUGGGCGAUCACUGCCUCUCUGGGCCUGUGUCUUAGGCUCUGCACGCUCAACCGAGCAAAGCACACGGCCUGCAGAGAGCCAGCGCUCCGCUC